rnacentral:rRNA from 1 species
AGUGAACGCUGGCGGUAGGCCUAACACAUGCAAGUCGAACGGCAGCACAGUAAGAGCUUGCUCUUACGGGUGGCGAGUGGCGGACGGGUGAGGAAUACAUCGGAAUCUACUUUUUCGUGGGGGAUAACGUAGGGAAACUUACGCUAAUACCGCAUACGACCUACGGGUGAAAGCAGGGGAUCUUCGGACCUUGCGCGAUUGAAUGAGCCGAUGUCGGAUUAGCUAGUUGGCGGGGUAAAGGCCCACCAAGGCGACGAUCCGUAGCUGGUCUGAGAGGCUGGUCAGCCACACUGGAACUUGGACACGGUCCAGACUCCUACGGGAGGCAGCAGUGGGGAAUAUUAGACAAUGGGCGCAAGCCUUAUCCAGCCAUACCGCGUGGGUGAAGGAGGCCUUCCGGUUGUAAAGCCCUUUUGUUGGGAAAGAAAAGCAGCAGGUUAAUACCCCGCUGUUCUGACGGUACCCAAAGAAUAAGCACCGGCUAACUUCGUG